GACGUAGGAGGCGAGCGUUGUCCGGAUUCAUUGGGCGUAAAGAGCGCGCAGGCGGCUUGGUAAGUCGGAUGUGAAAUCCCGAGGCUCAACCUCGGGUCUGCAUCCGAUACUGCCCGGCUAGAGGUAGGUAGGGGAGAUCGGAAUUCCUGGUGUAGCGGUGAAAUGCGCAGAUAUCAGGAGGAACACCAAUUGCGAAGGCAGCUCGCUGGAACGUAACUGACGCUGAGACGCGAAAGCGUGGGGAGCAAACAGG
rnacentral:rRNA from 1 species